UCCAGUUUAUAAGUACUGCCUUGUAUCAGUAUCUAACAUAUUAACUUCAACAUGCCAAAAUGAGGUUUCUGCCAGUUUAGUCAUGGUGCAUUUGAUUGAGAAAUUAGCUGCUGGUGAUACUGGAAGUUUAUCUGUAUCAAUACUUCAGAAGAUGAGCACCAUGUCUAAAAAGGUAUAUUGAGAUGAUUUCUUUGGAGCAAUUCUUGACAACAUUUGUAGUUGAGGCCUUUAGAAUGGAAGAAUGUAUUUCACUAAUUUUUGUAUACAUUUCUUGUUUUGUAUUUAGUGAUAAAGGAAUCUGAAUUGGGCAUAAAUUAUGUUGUAAUAUGAUUUCUUAAGCCUAGACUAGUAGACUAAAUAUUGUAAUUACAUUUGAGUAAUUAAUAAAAAUCUAUUUAUGUUA